ACAAAUCCUGCUCUGCAGAGAGGAAAAAGGCUAAAUCUGUGGGAAUCUGAACUAUUUAAGAUUUGUCUCAUAUUGGAAUUUUACACUAAAUCUGUAUACAGAGGUGUUGAAGAGUAUCAAACUCCCUGUUCCCCCCUGAGGUGCUAUCUAUUCCCUGUUUUAAGCAUAUUAAAAGUAUUUUUAUUAUUCACUUCAUCAUGAAUUACCCAUACAUCUCACAAGUCCGGACACUGCUCAGUGACCAUGCCUCAUCCUUUAGUCCUCCAGAUCUGACCAUCAGGUCAGAUGAUCAUGACUCGACUGUGGGGAAUGUCAAGUAAAUUCAAACACUAGCAGAGAAAAUGAGUUCAACUUUCACACCACAGCUUUUCUUGUUUCUGUUUCGUGCCUCCACAUCUUCAUUCUCCUCCACACUGAAGCUGUGGAUGGACUGAGAUCAUACAUUUUCAUUGUGCUGAUGUGAUAAUAUCAGCUGUUUCCUCCAGAUCUGACCAUCAGGUCAGAUGAUCAUGACUCGUAUAUCCAGUGUUGCCGAAGCACAGGUUUAACUGACCUCAUCACUGUGGGCAGAGGCAGCACAGCAUGAGGCAGCACAGCCUGUCGUGGUCUGGCCAGUCAGAGAGACCAGCCAAUUAUUUUGUCAUCUGGAUCACAAGAAGAUGAUCCUGUCAUUAUGAGAAAACCAAAUUUGCUUUCCCAAGAUUAUGGGAUGAAUUUACUGGAAGCUACUCUUUAAAAGUAAUGAUUAAAAAAAGUCAAACUCUGAAACAGAUGUAUGCAUAUCUACUUCAAGCUUCUGCACCUCUGUCCCUCUGCCUUUAUCUUUCUCAGCAGGCUAUCCCUGGAGAUGUUUCAAAAAAGCAUCAGGAGGAGGGGAGCAAGACAAG